rnacentral:rRNA from 1 species
CCUACGGGUGACUGCAGUGGGGAAUAUUGCACAAUGGGGGAAACCCUGAUGCAGCGACGCCGCGUGAGUGAAGAAGUAUCUCGGUACGUAAAGCUCUAUCAGCAGGAAAGAAAAUGACGGUACCUGACUAAGAAGCCCCGGCUAACUACGUGCCAGCAGCCGCGGUAAUACGUAGGGGGCAAGCGUUAUCCGGAUUUACUGGGUGUAAAGGGAGCGUAGACGGCGGGGCAAGUCUGGAGUGAAAGGCCGGGGCCCAACCCCGGGACCGCUCUGGAAACUGCCCGGCUGGAGUGCGGGAGAGGUAAGCUGAAUUCCUAGUGUAGCGGUGAAAUGCGUAGAUAUUAGGAGGAACACCAGCGGCGAAGGCGGCUUACUGGACCGUGACUGACGUUGAGGCUCGAAAGCGUGGGGAGCAAACAGGAUUAGAUACCCUUGUAGUC